UACGAAGGGGGCUAGCGUUGCUCGGAAUCACUGGGCGUAAAGCGCACGUAGGCGGAUUGCUAAGUCAGGGGUGAAAUCCUGGAGCUCAACUCCAGAACUGCCUUUGAUACUGGCGAUCUCGAGUCCGGGAGAGGUGAGUGGAACUGCGAGUGUAGAGGUGAAAUUCGUAGAUAUUCGCCAAGAACACCAGUGGCGAAGGCGGCUCACUGGCCCGGUACUGACGCUGAGGUGCGAAAGCGUGGGAGCAAACAGG
rnacentral:rRNA from 1 species